AGAACUUGAAACCGUGUGCUUACAAGUAGUCAGAGCCCGUUAAUGGGUGAUGGCGUGCCUUUUGUAGAAUGAACCGGCGAGUUACGAUCUGAUGCAAGGUUAAGCAGAAAAUGUGGAGCCGUAGCGAAAGCGAGUCUGAAUAGGGCGAAUGAGUAUUUGGUCGUAGACCCGAAACCAGGUGAUCUACCCUUGGUCAGGUUGAAGUUCAGGUAACACUGAAUGGAGGACCGAACCGACUUACGUUGAAAAGUGAGCGGAUGAACUGAGGGUAGCGGAGAAAUUCCAAUCGAACUUGGAGAUAGCUGGUUCUCUCCGAAAUAGCUUUAGGGCUAGCCUCAAGUGAUGAUUAUUGGAGGUAGAGCACUGUUUGGACGAGGGGCCCCUCUCGGGUUACCGAAUUCAGACAAACUCCGAAUGCCAAAUAAUUUAACUUGGGAGUCAGAAUGUGGGUGAUAAGGUCCAUAUUCGAAAGGGAAACAGCCCAGACCACCAGCUAAGGUCCCAAAAUAUAUGUUAAGUGGAAAAGGAUGUGGCGUUGCCCAGACAACUAGGAUGUUGGCUUAGAAGCAGCCAUCAUUUAAAGAGUGCGUAAUAGCUCACUAGUCGAGUGACACUGCGCCGAAAAUGUACCGGGGCUAAACAUAUUACCGAAGCUGUGGAUUGUCCUUUGGACAAUGGUAGGAGAGCGUUCUAAGGGCGUUGAAGCAUGAUCGCAAGGACAUGUGGAGCGCUUAGAAGUGAGAAUGCCGGUGUGAGUAGCGAAAGACGGGUGAGAAUCCCGUCCACCGAUUGACUAAGGUUUCCAGAGGAAGGCUCGUCCGCUCUGGGUUAGUCGGGUCCUAAGCUGAGGCCGACAGGCGUAGGCGAUGGAUAACAGGUUGAUAUUCCUGUACCACCAUUAUUCGUUUUAAGCGAUGGGGGGACGCAGUAGGAUAGGCGAAGCGUGCUGUUGGAGUGCACGUCCAAGCAGUGAGAUUGAGUGUUAGGCAAAUCCGGCACUCUUAAGAUUGAGCUGUGAUGGGGAGAGGAACUUGUUCCUCGAGUCGUUGAUUUCACACUGCCGAGAAAAGCCUCUAGCUAGAAUAACGGUGCCCGUACCGCAAACCGACACAGGUAGUCAAGAUGAGAAUUCUAAGGUGAGCGAGCGAACUCUCGUUAAGGAACUCGGCAAAAUGACCCCGUAACUUCGGGAGAAGGGGUGCUCUUUGAGGUUCACGCUUCGAAGAGCCGCAGUGAAUAGGCCCAAGCGACUGUUUAUCAAAAACACAGGUCUCUGCUAAACCGUAAGGUGACGUAUAGGGGCUGACGCCUGCCCGGUGCUGGAAGGUUAAGAGGAGUGGUUAGCGCAAGCGAAGCUACGAAUCGAAGCCCCAGUAAACGGCGGCCGUAACUAUAACGGUCCUAAGGUAGCGAAAUUCCUUGUCGGGUAAGUUCCGACCCGCACGAAAGGCGUAACGAUUUGGGCACUGUCUCAACGAGAGACUCGGUGAAAUCAUAGUACCGGUGAAGAUGCCGGUUACCCGCGACAGGACGGAAAGACCCCGUGGAGCUUUACUGUAGCCUGAUAUUGAAAUUCGGUACAGUUUGUACAGGAUAGGUAGGAGCCUUAGAAGCGUGAGCGCUAGCUUACGUGGAGGCAUUGGUGGGAUACUACCCUAAUUGUAUUGGAUUUCUAACCCGCAGCACUUAUCGUGCUGGGAGACAGUGUCAGGCGGGCAGUUUGACUGGGGCGGUCGCCUCCUAAAGAGUAACGGAGGCGCUCAAAGGUUCCCUCAGAAUGGUUGGAAAUCAUUCAUAGAGUGUAAAGGCAUAAGGGAGCUUGACUGCGAGACCUACAAGUCGAGCAGGGUCGAAAGACGGACUUAGUGAUCCGGUGGUUCCGCAUGGAAGGGCCAUCGCUCAACGGAUAAAAGCUACCCCGGGGAUAACAGGCUUAUCUCCCCCAAGAGUUCACAUCGACGGGGAGGUUUGGCACCUCGAUGUCGGCUCAUCGCAUCCUGGGGCUGUAGUCGGUCCCAAGGGUUGGGCUGUUCGCCCAUUAAAGCGGUACGCGAGCUGGGUUCAGAACGUCGUGAGACAGUUCGGUCCCUAUCCGUCGUGGGCGUAGGAAAUUUGAGAGGAGCUGUCCUUAGUACGAGAGGACCGGGAUGGACAUACCUCUGGUGUACCAGUUGUCGUGCCAACGGCAUAGCUGGGUAGCUAUGUAUGGACGGGAUAAGUGCUGAAAGCAUCUAAGCAUGAAGCCCCCCUCGAGAUGAGAUUUCCCAACUUCGGUUAUAAGAUCCCUCAAAGAUGAUGAGGUGAAUAGGUUCGAGGUGGAAGCGUAGCGAUACGUGGAGCUGACGAAUACUAAUCGAUCGAAGACUUAAUCAA
rnacentral:rRNA from 1 species